rnacentral:rRNA from 1 species
AUCUACCGUGAGGUGAGGAAUACCGGCGAGAAAUCGCCGACAAGACCGCAUAGCCUCGGCGCAAGCCGAGGAAAGCUCUCGCAAGGGAGCGCCACACGAGGAGCCUGCGCCCGAUUAGCUAGCUGGUGGAGUAACGGUUCACCAGGGCGACGAUCGGUAGCUGGUCUGAGAGGAUGAUCAGCCACACUGGGACUGAGAUACGGCCCAG